UGGGGGAUAUUGCACAAUGGGCGAAAGCCUGAUGCAGCGACGCCGCGUGGGGGAUGAAGGCUUUCGGGUUGCAAACCUCUUUCGCUAUCGAACAAGGCCCGCUUAGGGUGGGUUGAGGGUAGGUGGAGAAGAAGCGCCGGCUAACUACGUGCCAGCAGCCGCGGUAAUACGUAGGGCGCGAGCGUUGUCCGGAAUUAUUGGGCGUAAAGGGCUUGUAGGCGGCUUGUUGCGCCUGCUGUGAAAACGCGGGGCUUAACGUCGCGCGUGCAGUGGGUACGGGCAGGCUUGAGUGUGGUAGGGGUGACUGGAAUUCCAGGUGUAGCGGUGGAAUGCGCAGAUAUCUGGAGGAACACCGAUGGCGAAGGCAGGUCACUGGGCCAUUACUGACGCUGAGGAGCGAAAGCAUGGGUAGCGAACAGG
rnacentral:rRNA from 1 species